GGACCCCCGUGAUGUCCAGCACUGGGCUCUGAUCUCUGUUGAGGACACAGUGCCCCCCGGGACCUUUGACACCCGGGGGUCUGAGUGGGGGGGUCC
rnacentral:snoRNA from 2 species